UACGUAGGUGGCAAGCGUUGUCCGGAAUUAUUGGGCGUAAAGCGCGCGCAGGCGGUCCUUUAAGUCUGAUGUGAAAGCCCACGGCUCAACCGUGGAGGGUCAUUGGAAACUGGAGGACUUGAGUACAGAAGAGGAAAGCGGAAUUCCACGUGUAGCGGUGAAAUGCGUGGAGAUGUGGAGGAACACCAGUGGCGAAGGCGGCUUUCUGGUCUGUAACUGACGCUGAGGCGCGAAAGCGUGGGGAGCAAACAGG
rnacentral:rRNA from 1 species